AUUGAACGCUGGCGGCAUGCUUUACACAUGCGAGUCGAACGGUAACAGGCCGCAAGGUGCUGACGAGUGGCGAACGGGUGAGUAAUGCAUCGGAACGUGCCCAGUCGUGGGGGAUAACGCAGCGAAAGCUGUGCUAAUACCGCAUACGAUCUGUGGAUGAAAGCGGGGGACCGUAAGGCCUCGCGCGAUUGGAGCGGCCGAUGUCAGAUUAGGUAGUUGGUGGGGUAAAGGCUCACCAAGCCGACGAUCUGUAGCUGGUCUGAGAGGACGACCAGCCACACUGGGACGAAGACACGGCCCAGACUCCUACGGGAGGCAGCAGUGGGGAAUUUUGGACAAUGGGCGCAAGCCUGAUCCAGCAAUGCCGCGUGCAGGAAGAAGGCCUUCGGGUUGUAAACUGCUUUUGUACGGAGCGAAAAGGCUCUCUCUAAUACGGGGGGCUCAUGACGGUACCGUAAGAAUAAGCACCGGCUAACUACGUGCCAGCCGCCGCAUAA
rnacentral:rRNA from 1 species